CCCUCCACAAUAUUUCACAUAAUACCACCAAAAAACAUUUUUCUCUUUCUUUCUCUCUCAUAAAAGUAUCAGAGCGUUAUUUCUCUCUCUUUCUUUCUCUUUCUUGUAAAAAAUCCUUUUUUCAAAUUGCAUUGAUCUAUUGCGUCUUUAUUAUGUAACCCAUUUGUCAGAUAACACUGAUGCAUCUAUAUAUUGUAUCGAUCUAUUGAAAUUUAGGGGUCAAAUUAUAAUGAAAGUGUCUCAGAUAACUCAUUUCUCUGACUAUCGACAAUCGUUUCGAGGGAAAAUUGAAAUUUGGGGGUGAAAUUAGUAAUUAGGGAAUGAAGAAAUCGAAGCCUGAGGUGAAAGUUGGGGAGCAACUCAAGGGGUCAAUUGAAAAUGUUUUUGUGGGUGGAAUGAACCGCUGGAAGUAAGUAGAAGACAAUCUUUGCUAUACGUCAGAUUGACUGAAUAACUGAUUCAAAUGAUGUGAACAGACAUUCAUCAUUUCUGAACUAGGAGCUAUGGUGGCCAACUUUUCAAAUUUCGUUACAUUUUAAAGAGAAAUAGGCAAAACCCGAGGGACAAGUGCACCUUUUCCAAAUGGGAAGCAACAGUAUGAUGUUAUGGUGGAGAGAUGUGGCCCUUCAAAAACUAGUGGACCAAAGUAAUACAGGACGGGCUCCAGGUGAAGAUGAAGAUAAACCAGACAAGUCAUAAGAUAAGACCUAGUACAAGGUAAGAAGCUAAAGGUCAUAAGGAACUAGUCCGUUCAGUUGCAAAAUGUACUUUAAUGUAAUGAACUAACAUAUAUUCACUUCCUGUGUCUAGCAUCUGUAAAGUCAAAAAAAGAUAAAUAGUGCUCGAUUUGAGUUUUAGUGUAACAUGUACAUGUAUUAUCAUCAUUACUAUAUGAAAGAUAGCGUCUACCACACCUCUGAGGUAGAGGUAGAGACUGUGUAUACUGUACUCUCUU